AGAUAAAAUUUUAUAUUUUGGAGAAUUUAUUUUUAAUUUAUUUUACAUAUAAAUUAUAGUGUUUAAUUUUAAUUAUUUAAAAAAUAAUUAAUUAAUAUUUAGUAGUAAUUAAUAUUAAAAAUUUAAGAAAUUAAGAUUUAGUAAUAUAAAAAUUAAUAACUAAUUUUGUGCCAGCAGUUGCGGUUAAACAAAAGUUAAAUUAAAUUAAUUCAGUAAAUAAUAAUUAAUAAAAUUUUUUAAAAAUAUUAAAUUAUAAGGUGAAAUUUUAAUUUAAUUAAAAUUUAUAAUAAAAUUAUGAUUUAAUAAAUUUUAUUAUAAACUAGGAUUAGAUACCCUAUUAUUAAAAAUUUAAUUAUAAAUACUAAAAUAGUAAAUAAUGAAUAUUGAAACUUAAAUAAAAUGGCGGUAUUUUAGUUCAUUUAGAGGAAUCUGUCUAGUAAUUGAUAAUCCACGAAUAAAUUUACUUAAUUAAAAAUUUUGUAUAUCAUUGUUAAAAAAAUAUUUUUUAGUAAAAAUAAUAUUUUAAAAUUUUAAAUAUAAAUUAAUUCAGAUCAAGAUGCAGAUUAUAAUUAAGAUUAAGAUGGAUUACAAUAAAUUUAUUUAAACGAAAAUAAAUUUUUUAAUAUAAAAUUGAAGGUGGAUUUAAAUGUAAUUUUAAUUAGUUUGUUAAAAUGAUUAAUAAUUAAAAUAUGUACAUAUUGCCCGUCACUUUCAUUUAAAAAUUGGAAUAAGUCGUAACAAAGUAGAGGUACUGGAAAGUGUUUCUAGAAUGAU
rnacentral:ncRNA from 1 species